GUCGCUCGGAUAGCCUCUAUAUCUUUUAUGUACAUAUGUAUGUAUAGCGGGCAGAUGUAGUCUGUAUUUCAAUGGAUUUCACCGCACUUUCAUUCGUCCUUCCACAAAACACAUCCCAUCUAACUAUUAUUCACUAACAACUUGUCCUUCCUGCCA
ensembl:ncRNA F48B9.9 ncRNA